AUCAGGAGGUUAGUGCAAUGGCAUAAGCCAGCUUGACUGCGAGCGUGACGGCGCGAGCAGGUGCGAAAGCAGGUCAUAGUGAUCCGGUGGUUCUGAAUGGAAGGGCCAUCGCUCAACGGAUAAAAGGUACUCCGGGGAUAACAGGCUGAUACCGCCCAAGAGUUCAUAUCGACGGCGGUGUUUGGCACCUCGAUGUCGGCUCAUCACAUCCUGGGGCUGAAGUAGGUCCCAAGGGUAUGGCUGUUCGCCAUUUAAAGUGGUACGCGAGCUGGGUUUAGAACGUCGUGAGACAGUUCGGUCCCUAUCUGCCGUGGGCGCUGGAGAACUGAGGGGGGCUGCUCCUAGUACGAGAGGACCGGAGUGGACGCAUCACUGGUGUUCGGGUUGUCAUGCCAAUGGCACUGCCCGGUAGCUAAAUGCGGAAGAGAUAAGUGCUGAAAGCAUCUAAGCACGAAACUUGCCCCGAG
rnacentral:rRNA from 1 species